AGAAUAAGGUCCGGCUAACUUCGUGCCAGCAGCCGCGGUAAUACGAAGGGACCUAGCGUAGUUCGGAAUUACUGGGCGUAAAGCGCGCGUAGGCCGUUGAGUUAGUUAAUUGUGAAAUCCCAAAGCUUAACUUUGGAACUGCAAUUAAAACUGCUCGACUAGAGUUUGAUAGAGGAAAGCGGAAUACAUAGUGUAGAGGUGAAAUUCGUAGAUAUUAUGUAGAACACCAGUUGCGAAGGCGGCUUUCUGGGUCAACACUGACGCUGAGGCGCGAAAGUAUGGGUAGCAAAGAGGAUUAGAUACCCUCGUAGUCCAUACCAUAAACGAUGAUUGCUAGAUGUUGGAAAUUUAUUUUCAGUAUCGCAGCUAACGCAUUAAGCAAUCCGCCUGGGGAGUACGACCGCAAGGUUAAAACUCAAAUGAAUUGACGGGGACCCGCACAAGCGGUGGAGCAUGUGGUUUAAUUCGAAGAUACGCGCAGAACCUUACCAACCCUUGACAUGUCUGUCGCGAGUUUAGGAAACUAGACUUUUCGGUUCGGCCGGACAGAACACAGGUGCUGCAUGGCUGUCGUCAGCUCGUGUCGUGAGAUGUUGGGUUAAGUCCCGCAACGAGCGCAACCCCUACUUUUAGUUGCCAUCAGGUCAUGCUGGGCACUCUGAAAGAACUGCCAGUGAUAAGCUGGAGGAAGGUGGGGAUGACGUCAAGUCCUCAUGGCCCUUACGGGUUGGGCUACACACGUGCUACAAUGGUAGUGACAAUGAGAUGCAAAGUGGCGACGCUAAGCUAAACUCAAAAAUCUACCUCAGUUCGGAUUGCACUCUGCAACUCGAGUGCAUGAAGCUGGAAUCGCUAGUAAUCGUAGAUCAGCGUGCUACGGUGAAUACGUUCCCGGGUCUUGUACACACCGCCCGUCACACCAUGGAAGUUGGUUCUACCUUAAAGCAGAUUGCUAACCGCAAGGAGGCGUUUGACCAAGGUAUAGUCAGCGACUGGGGUGAAGUCAUAACAAGGUAGCCG
rnacentral:rRNA from 1 species